AGAGUUUGAUCAUGGCUCAGAUUGAACGCUGGCGGCAGGCCUAACACAUGCAAGUCGAGCGGUAGCACAGAGAGCUUGCUCUCGGGUGACGAGCGGCGGACGGGUGAGUAAUGUCUGGGAAACUGCCUGAUGGAGGGGGAUAACUACUGGAAACGGUAGCUAAUACCGCAUAACGUCGCAAGACCAAAGUGGGGGACCUUCGGGCCUCAUGCCAUCAGAUGUGCCCAGAUGGGAUUAGCUGGUAGGUGGGGUAACGGCUCACCUAGGCGACGAUCCCUAGCUGGUCUGAGAGGAUGACCAGCCACACUGGAACUGAGACACGGUCCAGACUCCUACGGGAGGCAGCAGUGGGGAAUAUUGCACAAUGGGCGCAAGCCUGAUGCAGCCAUGCCGCGUGUGUGAAGAAGGCCUUCGGGUUGUAAAGCACUUUCAGCGGGGAGGAAGGCGNNNNNNNNNNNNNNNNNNNUCGAUUGACGUUACCCGCAGAAGAAGCACCGGCUAACUCCGUGCCAGCAGCCGCGGUAAUACGGAGGGUGCAAGCGUUAAUCGGAAUUACUGGGCGUAAAGCGCACGCAGGCGGUCUGUCAAGUCGGAUGUGAAAUCCCCGGGCUCAACCUGGGAACUGCAUUCGAAACUGGCAGGCUAGAGUCUUGUAGAGGGGGGUAGAAUUCCAGGUGUAGCGGUGAAAUGCGUAGAGAUCUGGAGGAAUACCGGUGGCGAAGGCGGCCCCCUGGACAAAGACUGACGCUCAGGUGCGAAAGCGUGGGGAGCAAACAGGAUUAGAUACCCUGGUAGUCCACGCUGUAAACGAUGUCGAUUUGGAGGUUGUGCCCUUGAGGCGUGGCUUCCGGAGCUAACGCGUUAAAUCGACCGCCUGGGGAGUACGGCCGCAAGGUUAAAACUCAAAUGAAUUGACGGGGGCCCGCACAAGCGGUGGAGCAUGUGGUUUAAUUCGAUGCAACGCGAAGAACCUUACCUGGUCUUGACAUCCACAGAACUUUCCAGAGAUGGAUUGGUGCCUUCGGGAACUGUGAGACAGGUGCUGCAUGGCUGUCGUCAGCUCGUGUUGUGAAAUGUUGGGUUAAGUCCCGCAACGAGCGCAACCCUUAUCCUUUGUUGCCAGCGGUUAGGCCGGGAACUCAAAGGAGACUGCCAGUGAUAAACUGGAGGAAGGUGGGGAUGACGUCAAGUCAUCAUGGCCCUUACGACCAGGGCUACACACGUGCUACAAUGGCAUAUACAAAGAGAAGCGACCUCGCGAGAGCAAGCGGACCUCAUAAAGUAUGUCGUAGUCCGGAUUGGAGUCUGCAACUCGACUCCAUGAAGUCGGAAUCGCUAGUAAUCGUAGAUCAGAAUGCUACGGUGAAUACGUUCCCGGGCCUUGUACACACCGCCCGUCACACCAUGGGAGUGGGUUGCAAAAGAAGUAGGUAGCUUAACCUUCGGGAGGGCGCUUACCACUUUGUGAUUCAUGACUGGGGUGAAGUCGUAACAAGGUAACCGUAGGGGAACCUGCGGUUGGAUCACCU
rnacentral:rRNA from 2 species